AGCGAACGCUGGCGGCAGGCCUAACACAUGCAAGUCGAACGAGACCUUCGGGUCUAGUGGCGGACGGGUGAGUAACACGUGGGAACGUGCCUUUAGGUUCGGAAUAACUCAGGGAAACUUGUGCUAAUACCGAAUGUGCCCUUCGGGGGAAAGAUUUAUCGCCUUUAGAGCGGCCUGCGUCUGAUUAGCCAGUUGGUGAGGUAAUGGCUCACCAAGGCUACGAUCAGUAGCUGGUCUGAGAGGAUGAUCAGCCACAUUGGGACUGAGACACGGCCCAAACUCCUACGGGAGGCAGCAGUGGGGAAUCUUGCGCAAUGGGCGAAAGCCUGACGCAGCCAUGCCGCGUGUAUGAUGAAGGUCUUAGGAUUGUAAAAUACUUUCACCGGUGAAGAUAAUGACUGUAGCCGGAGAAGAAGCCCCGGCUAACUUCGUGCCAGCCGCCGCCGUAAUAC
rnacentral:rRNA from 1 species